AGCCUUGUAUUCAUUUUGUGAUUACAGAAUGCAAUUCUGUAGGGGUGGGUUAAGACUUACCAAGGCCU
rnacentral:tRNA from 1 species